rnacentral:lncRNA from 1 species
AGGGUGGUGUUAUAUAUAUUUUAUAGUAAUUAAUACAAGUGUAAGCAUUACACAUUUUAUAUUUUUGUUUUAAAUUUAUAAUAUAAUAUAUAUUUUUUGAGUAAUUAAUACAAUUUGUUUCUAAAUCUGUAUACGAUCUUAAAUAUAUAGUAUACGAUUAGUCACUAUCCAGACAUGCUCAAAUAAACCCGAUGGGUAUAAUAGUAACUAAAUAUUCGAACCCACAUCUCUCCCGAACUUGAAUGGGUAGAGUAUGUCUUUCUUUACUGGCCAUUCCUAGUGCAAGUGGCAAAGAGGUUAGUGGUUGGUACCCGAGGUCCCUAGUUCGAAUCCUAGUUGAUUCAUAUUUCUAGCUAAGUUUAUUUCUAAAUGACAUAAACGAUUACAGUAUAUUAACUCUCCCUGUAGUAGAUCUGGUCGACGGCCAUAUCAUUUUGUAAGUACCUACUAGUGUAGAAACCCGCGCGAUGCAGCGGAUAAACAAUAGAAGCAAAAUUUUAAACUUUUAAUAAAAUUUAUAUUUACAGCUUAUUGAUGUAUAGGAAACUAUACCAUGUUAAGUACAGUUAAUUUGCAUGACUAAAUUCAACUGCUAAAAAAAUAAAAUUAUAGUUAGAAGCUUAUAUAAUUUUUUUAAAAAUCAUCAAAAUAUAGUAAGAGACAUACAAUUUUAUCAUAUUAUGUGCCUAUUGAACAUUCUAUUGUGAAAGAUAAAAAAGAGUUAGCUCCAAUGCAGCUGAAUCAACCCAGCGGGCACUUAUAUGGGCCGCGGCUCGGCUUUGCGGGACGAUACUUUUUGAAGGAGACAACGUUCUUUGUAUGUUCUUCUUCUUCUUCAUCAUUCUCAUCAUUUUUAUUAACACAAUGAGAGAGAGAGCUAGAUGAGUAUGGGGUGGGAGAUUAGAUGAUGAUAUUCUUUUUUGCAUGAAAAAUAACAGGCCAUGUAAAAGAGAGGGGGGGCGGGGGAUUAAUAGAGGUGGGGAGUGGAUUGGAAUUACAAAGCCUACUCAUUGGUAGAAUAUGCUGCAUAUAAUUAAAUGUUGUAUUUUGGAUUAAUUAAUUCUCAUGAUUUCAAAGAACUGAGGAGGUUUGAGGGAGAAGAGGGAGAAGUAAAAAUAACCAAUAUUGAAGAGAAAAAUAAGUAACGUAUAAAUUAAAGAGUGCAUUGAUUAAAGGUUAUUGAAUAGAGAGAAGGGGAGAGGAAAAGCCAAGAUCAUUGAAUAGGAGGUGAGGUUGAAAGAAAACUUGCCACGUGGCAAAAACAUUAGGAAUUCAUAUAUGGUAAUAGAUAUGUGGUAGUAUUAUAUAAAACUAAAUAUAUAGUAUAUACAGUGGAGCCAGGCUAUUAUAAUAUUUUAAGUAUGAUUAUCUUCGUGCUUAUAUAUAAGUUAUUUUUCGAUAAUAGAGCUUUCAUAUCGAUGAUUCAUGUUAAUAAAUAAACUUCAGAGCAUUUGAAUAUUUUAGAAAUUGAGUUUAAUAACUUUCUAAUAUCAUAUCCUUUCCAUGAGAGAGCCUCAAAUUUGACAAAUUUGAUAAUUAUCAUAUGUUUCAUAACUUAACAGUGUAAAAGAAUAAAAAAUAGUUAAAUUUUUCAUAAAAUAAUCUAUUCACUAUCUAGAGCAAGAUCAAUAACUCUGAUUUUGAAUUGAACAUUCCAAUUUUCUAUUUAUAGACUGUAAUUUAAUUUUGACUGAUCAUUUUAUAUCCGUUUGAUAGACUUUAUUAUAAAUUUUAAAAAUUAUGAAAUUCGAUUUUAGAUAUUUCAAAUGUCUAAUUCAUAUUUAAUAAAUCAUAUUUAAUAAUAUGAAUCGUCGAUUCUAAGGUCAAUCAAUGAAAAAAAUAUAUGGGAAUACAAAAGCCUCCAUACUUAUAAUACUACAAUUAUAUUUAGAACUAAUUAACUUUCGGAAGUCUUGAAUAUUAAUUUGUGCAUAAAUUUGGAUUGCAAAUCAUGUAAUUUUAGAUUGGCGCAAUGAAUUGAGUACUUUGUUUCUUGUUUUAACCAUAGAACCAGCAAGAGGUGACAGUUUUUUUUUUUUUUUUUCUUCGUUUUUCUGAACCACACGUAUACUUGCUCCCUCCUAAUAAGAUUGUUAGCUCCACCCACCCUAGUUAGCGGUCAAGCAAAAACUAUUUUCUAUAUUUAGAAAUCAAUGCUUUAACUGCGGGAUGGAAGUGGAAGACAUAUAGCCUCACGAGUAGGGCUGGCAAAUAAGCGAGCCAGCUCGUGUUCCACUCGUGUUCGGCUCGAUAUUCGGCUCGCUCGAGUUCGGUUCGAAUUAAUUUCAAACAAGCNUUGAAUAGGAGGUGAGGUUGAAAGAAAACUUGCCACGUGGCAAAAACAUUGUGAAUUCAUAUAUGUUAAUAGAUUGUGGCUUAGAUCAGUUUCUAUAUAUGCAGCUGUAUCUUGAGAGAUUGAUUAUGUACGACAGCGAUCCGAUGCUAAGAUUAUCCGUG